UGAGAAACAGAGGCUAAGGACACCAUUCCUUACCCAUCCUGGCUAAUAGCUAUGCAUGGACUUAACUACCAUGCAUUUAAUCUGUUC